rnacentral:rRNA from 1 species
CCCGGUGGCAAUAGCAAGCGGGAACCACCUGACCCCAUCCCGAACUCAGAAGUGAAAACGCUUAGCGCCAAUGAUAGUGCAGGGCCAUCCUGCGCGAAAGUAGGACACUGCCGGGC